UCAGCUCUCUUUGCCUCUGGCUUAGAUCAAGUGUAGUAUCUGUUCUUUUCAGUUUAAUCGCUGAAAGUUCUGCAUUGCAGAACAUCAUGAUUAUUCUAAUGUUUGGACCUCGCGACUUGGCCUCUGUGCUUGCGCAUGCCUCGUUGCACAGUGUCAUCGGGCUUACACUACCCCCGAUUGACGCGAAUCCUC
rnacentral:snRNA from 1 species